rnacentral:lncRNA from 10 species
CCGCACCGGGGCUGCAGGUGGAGCUGCCUGCCAGUCCCGCCCCGUGCGCCCGCACGCCUCAGCCCUUGGGUGGUUGAUGGGACUGGGCGCCAUGGAGCAGGGGGUGGCGCUCAUCGGGGAGGCUCGGGCCGCACAGGAGCCCAUGGAGGGGGUGGGAGGCUCAGGCAUGGCGGGCUGCAGGUCCCGAGCCCUGCCCUGCGGGAAGGCAGCUAAGGCCCGGUGAGAAAUCGAGCGCAGCGCCGGUGGUCUGGCACUGCUGGGGGACCCAGUACACCCUCUGCAGCCGCUGGCCCGGGUGCUAAGCCCCUCAUUGCCCGGGGCCGGCAGGGCCGGCCGCCUGCUCAGAGUGCGGGGCCUGCCAAGCCCACGCCCACCCGGAACUCCAGCUGGCGCGCAAGCUCCGCGCGCAGCCCUGGUUCCCGCUCGCGCCUCUCCCUCCACACCUCCCUGCAAGCUGAGGGAGUUGGCUCCGGCCUUGGCCAGCCCAGAAAGGGGCUCCCACAGUGCAGCGGUGGGCCGAAGGGCUCCUCAAGUGACGCCAAAGUGGGAGACCAAGCAGAGGAGGUGCCAAGAGCAAGCGAGGGGCUGUGAGGACUGCCAGCACGCUGUCACCUCUCACCGGGGCCGAGGAACAGGAGCACCGCAGACCUUCUGGACAGUCAGACUGGCUUUGGAAAUGAUUAAAAGUUGAUCUGGGCCUGGGCAGAAGGGCAUGGCUGUUAGCCAAAGCUGAACUGCAUUCAUCUUCAAAGACUUAAGAGAAGCAGCCCCUUCUACCCUCAGCCACCAGGACCAUUCUGUCACAUUCUGUGGGAGGCUCCUGCUAAUGGAAUGAGGCCACUCACAGAGCUUGGUCAAUUAGCUCUUGCUGAAAACUGCUAACGUGGAACUUUGGCAGCCAUUUGGUUGGUGUCAAGAGAAACUGACCCUCCACGAGUUUAGUGUCUGCCAGGUCGGCAUCAUCAGCUCAAGUCAGUGAAUCAGGCAGAAUGAGACUCCAGUAUCAAUCAUCUGCCAGGCAGCCAGCUCUGAAUCGUGUU